CUCUGGAGGACUAGUGGUUAGGCCACAGCACUCUCAUUGCUGUGACGCAGGUUCGAUUUCCAGCCAGGGA